CGGACCCAAGCCGCCGUGGUCUCCCACGUCCCACUCAUUCUCUAUCGGCCUUCGGGGCUCCGAGGUCUGCAAAGCCCGCAAAACGGGUCGGUUCGUUCCAGCCGUGACGUCACUGCUUCCCUGCAACGGCGGACGGGGUCGUGGUACCUGUCGGCUGAGAUCUGUACCAGCUACAAUGGAGGCGAGAACGAUCACUGCUGACUUUCAUCGGAGUUCUCAGCGAAGAGGAUCGCGAAGCUUCACCUCCCCGGGAAGGGAACUUGCAGAACAUACUUCUGCAUUGUAUACCGAGCAGGUGCUGCUUGCCAAACCAUGAAGAACUCAACGAAGACAGUGACAGUGGGAAUUAAAGGAGUUCUCUAAGAAAGGCGCUUAAGAUUAAAGAACAAUGUCUAGUGAAGGCAAGUGAUUAAUUAUAAUUCCCAAGUGGAGUGGCACACCAUCCCAUGCUGGGACACCUGGGGAAAGAAGUGAGUUCCCUCCUUCCUUCCUUUAAUUAAUACUUAAUAAGCACCAUGCUAGUCCCUGGAGAUGGAGUGAUAAAUAAGAUCUUAUAAACUGGAUAAAUUUGAGAGAAUUUCCAAUCCUAAUUUACUAUCUUCAAGCUUUACUUACUACUGGGAAGUAGUCUGGACAUUUGGAAGAAACUGAUAACCACCAUGUGCUACUAUAAUGGAAAUCUUCCUUCUAUAACAUUCCUUAAUAACACUAGUGAAUAAAAACAAAG